UUGGUUUUUUAAUUCUAAAUUUUGUAAAGUAAUAAAAAAAAAAAAUUCCACAAAUAUGAUAAUUUCUUUUUUCUUACAUCACAAAAAGAUUUAAAUAAAUUUUUUAUCGGAUAUUUUUCGAUUAUAUUAUAAUAUAUUUGAGGGAAGUCCAAAAAGAACAAGAGCAAUAUGAUUAUUAUUUAAUUAUUAAAAUUUAAUUGAAAAAAAAAAAUAAUAAUUGAUACCAUGUCUGAUAAAACAUCGAAAAAAUCAGGACAGAAAGCUGAUGAUAAAAAUUCAUCGAGUAAAGGAAAUAAAAAUGCAAAAAAUUCCCCGCCUCCUUCAAAAAAUAAUGCAACUGAUGAAUCAAAUUCAGAAAAUCCUUGUGAUGAGGAAUCAAUGGCUAUGAAAUUUUUUAAUAAUUUUCGUGAAAAAUAUUUUAAACCUAAAGAGGAACCGGAAGAAUAAAAAAAAAUUACUUAAAUUAAAAGAAAAAACAUUGAAAACUAAUUGAAAAUAUCUAUUUAAAUUUGAAUUUAAUUAACAAACCAAAAAAAAAAAAGGAAUCAAUUUUGCUAAUUAUCUUCCUCGACAAUAAAAUUAAUAAUAUAUAAUUACAAGGUAAAUACAUGACAACAAUA